rnacentral:rRNA from 1 species
GCAAGUCGAGCGGUAACAUUUCUAGCUUGCUAGAAGAUGACGAGCGGCGGACGGGUGAGUAAUGCUUGGGAACAUGCCUUGAGGUGGGGGACAACAGUUGGAAACGACUGCUAAUACCGCAUAAUGUCUACGGACCAAAGGGGGCUUCGGCUCUCGCCUUUAGAUUGGCCCAAGUGGGAUUAGCUAGUUGGUGAGGUAAUGGCUCACCAAGGCAACGAUCAUUAGGGGGCCUGAGAGGGUGAAC